AUUGAACGCUGGCGGCAGGCCUAACACAUGCAAGUCGAACGAGUGGCGGACGGGUGAGUAAUGUCUGGGAAACUGCCUGAUGGCGGGGGAUAACUAAUGGAACCGGUAGCUAAUACCGCAUCCCAUCAGAUGUGCCCAGUUGGGAGUAGCUAGUGGGUGGGGUAACGUCUCACCAAGUCGACUAUCCCUAGCUGGUCUGAGAGUAUGACCAGCCACACUGUAACGUAGACACGGUCCAUACCCCUACGGUAGGCAGCAGUUGGGACUAUUGCACAAUGGGCGCAAGCCUGAUGCAGCCAUGCCGCGUGUAUUAAGAAGGCCGUCGUGUUGUAAAGUACUUUCAGCGAGUAGGCGUUACCCGCAGAAUAAGCACCGGCUAACUCCGUGCCAGCAGCCGCGGUAAUAC
rnacentral:rRNA from 1 species